CUUCCUGUAGGGGAACAUGUGGUAGAACAAAGAGGAAGACCAUGCCCGAAAGGAGAGACCCCCCACCAUUGUGUAUUAUUACUUUGUAGCUUAGGCAAGACGCCUUCGGACAUAGUAUGCUAGCCACAGAAUACCAAAACUCUUUUUAUUAAUGUAGUCCGAGUACUAAAUAAUAGUUAAAACAUUCAACAACGGAUCUCUUGGUUCAGGCAACGAUGAAGAACGCAGCAAACCCGAUAAGUAAUGUGAAGCGAAGAAUUCACUGAAUCAUCGAAUCUCUGAAAGCACAGCGCGCCCCAUGGUAUUCCGGGGGGCGGCCUGUUCGAGCGUCAUUUCAACCCUCAAGCUCAGUUGGUAAAGGUCUAAGUCAGUAAUGGCACGCUCAAAAAUCAGAGGAGGAGACGCUGGGUCCUGAACGUAGUAACAACGCCUACAGGCACCCGGCGUGCAUCAACCAAAACCCAAACACAACGAGGGAGGACCACCAAGCAGGCAAGAAUACCCGCUGAACUUAAGCAUAUCAUAAGCGGAGGAAAAU
rnacentral:rRNA from 1 species